rnacentral:rRNA from 1 species
GACGAACGCUGGCGGCGUGCUUAACACAUGCAAGUCGAACGGAAAGGCCCUGCUUUUGUGGGGUGCUCGAGUGGCGAACGGGUGAGUAACACGUGAGUAACCUGCCCUUGACUUUGGGAUAACUUCAGGAAACUGGGGCUAAUACCGGAUAGGAGCUCCUGCUGCAUGGUGGGGGUUGGAAAGUUUCGGCGGUUGGGGAUGGACUCGCGGCUUAUCAGCUUGUUGGUGGGGUAGUGGCUUACCAAGGCUUUGACGGGUAGCCGGCCUGAGAGGGUGACCGGCCACAUUGGGACUGAGAUACGGCCCAGACUCCUACGUGAGGCAGCAGUGGGGAGUCUUGCACAAUGGGCGGAAGCCUGAUACGGCAACGCCGCGUGCGGGAUGACGGCCUUCGGGUUGUAAACCGCUUUCGCCUGUGACGAAGCGUGAGUGACGGUAAUGGGUAAAGAAGCACCGGCUAACUACGUG